GUCGGGGUGCGAACGAAAUACAAGACCGCUUGCGGAAAUACGUUCGGCCUCUCUCACAGGAGGUUGUCAACACCCCGGCGCCAGUCC
rnacentral:ncRNA from 1 species